rnacentral:rRNA from 1 species
GGCGAGUGGCAAACGGGUGAGUAAUACAUCGGAACGUGCCCAGUAGUGGGGGAUAGCCCGGCGAAAGCCGGAUUAAUACCGCAUACGACCUACGGGUGAAAGCGGGGGACCGAAAGGCCUCGCGCUAUUGGAGCGGCCGAUGGCUGAUUAGCUAGUUGGUGGGGUAAAAGCCUACCAAGGCUACGAUCAGUAGCUGGUCUGAGAGGAUGAUCAGUCACACUGGAACUGAGACACGGUCCAGACUCC